CCUACGGGAGGCAGCAGUGAGGAAUAUUGGUCAAUGGCCGUAAGGCUGAACCAGCCAAGUAGCGUGAGGGAAGACUGCCCUAUGGGUUGUAAACCUCUUUUAUGCGGGGAUAAAGGUGUCCACGUGUGGAGCUUUGCAGGUACCGCAUGAAUAAGGACCGGCUAAUUCCGUGCCAGCAGCCGCGGUAAUACGGAAGGUCCGGGCGUUAUCCGGAUUUAUUGGGUUUAAAGGGUGCGUAGGCCGGUCCGUAAGCGUGCCGUGAAAUUUUGUGGCUCAACCAUGUGAGUGCGGUGCAAACUGGGGACCUUGAGUGCGCGGAAGGCAGGCGGAAUUCGUGGUGUAGCGGUGAAAUGCAUAGAUAUCACGAAGAACCCCGAUUGCGAAGGCAGCCUGCCGCAGCGUUACUGACGCUGAUGCUCGAAAGCGCGGGUAUCGAACAGGAUUAGAUACCCUGGUAGUC
rnacentral:rRNA from 1 species